rnacentral:tRNA from 1 species
AAGUCUCUGCAAUCUA